rnacentral:rRNA from 1 species
GAUGAACGCUGGCGGCGUGCCUAAUACAUGCAAGUCGAGCGAAUGGAUUAAGAGCUUGCUCUUAUGAAGUUAGCGGCGGACGGGUGAGUAACACGUGGGUAACCUGCCCAUAAGACUGGGAUAACUCCGGGAAACCGGGGCUAAUACCGGAUAACAUUUUGAACCGCAUGGUUCGAAAUUGAAAGGCGGCUUCGGCUGUCACUUAUGGAUGGACCCGCGUCGCAUUAGCUAGUUGGUGAGGUAACGGCUCACCAAGGCAACGAUGCGUAGCCGACCUGAGAGGGUGAGCGGCCACACGGGGACUGAGACACGGCCCAGACUCCUACGGGAGGCAGCAGUAGGGAAUCUUCCGCAAUGGACGAAAGUCUGUCGGAGCAACGCCGCGUGAGUGAUGAAGGCUUUCGGGUCGUAGAACUCUGUUGUUAGGGAAGAACAAGUGCUAGUUGUAUAAGCUGGCACCUUGACGGUACCUAACCAGAAAGCCACGGCUAACUACGUGCCAGCCGCCGCGGUAA